rnacentral:lncRNA from 1 species
AAUUUACGUGUCAUUAUGACCGUUUCUUUAUCAUAGUUAAUUAUGGACACAUAAAAUAACAUGAGAACUUUUCGUAAUUUCAUAUUAAAACGAUAAGUGAGGAUCUUUAUUUUCGUAAAAUUUUAAAUUGAAUAUUUUAAAACACCUGCUAGCAUGAGUAUGUAUAUAAUUUUGAUCAGGAUUAAUUCGCUCAUGAUUUAAUAUUCUUGAGAGGUGUGCUGUGCCGCUCAUGGCAAUUAUUGCCGUUGGCUGUGACCACGGAUCAGAAUCAUGUGUUGGCAAUUCUUUGGACCUUUCAUGUUAGCUUUUGACGUGUAGUGAAUCUUAUAUGUUUAUUGGUUUCCGUGCUUUGCUUAAUGAUUGUUGGUCAUGCUCUCCCAGUUGUCGAACUUGCUUUUUUUCAAUUUUUUAUUUUCUCACAAGUCUUAACAGAUAAUCCACAAGUUUAGUCCAAUAAUUGGUCAUAUCAGCCACUAUUGACCACGAGUAAUUAGAUUAACGAAUAAUUAAAUAUUAGGUUAUUAUCAUUUUAUUACUUUAAAAAUUAUUAAAUAUUAAAUGAUUAUAACAAAUAUUGUCUCUUAUAUUUUUUUAUUAUAUCUUUAUAAAAAUAUCAUUUUACUACUUUUCUGUUACAAUAAAUAUCAUUUUACUACUUUUUCAUUACAACCGUUAGUUGACCAGUUAGUUAACUAACAAAAUACUAAUUUUACCCUUUAUGAUUAAAACGAAAGCUUCAUUAAAAAAAUAAUAAGACAAAUUUAUUUUGUAAAUAAGCUUCAUUUUCAUAAUUCUAACAAAAAGAAUUAUGUUGGUAUUUUAUAUCCAUUUUAAUAAAUAUAUUACAAAUUUAUUUUGUAAUUAAGUUUCAAGUAAUUUUUUUAAUCAUAAAGGGUGAAAUUGAUAUUUUGUUAGUCAAUUAACUGAUCAACUAACGGUUAUAACGGAAAAGUAGUAAAAUGAUAUUUUUAUAAAGAUAUAGUAAGAAAAUGAUAGGAGAUAAUACUUGUUGUAGUCAUUUAAUAUUUGGUAAUUUUUGAAGUAGUAAAAUGAUAAUAACUCUUGAAUAUUUUUUAGCGACAUCAAACCCAAUCAAUAAUUAUACAAUUUCUUGGAAAAUCAUAUUGAAAUCAUUCAAGUUGGGUGAUUGUAUGAGUUCUUUAAUGCAAUUCUCAUAUUGAUAUACUAAAUCGAAUAAUUUGCUGUGGGAUUUAAUACAUCUUGAGGCUGGAUUGCUUGGGUAGAAGUUCACUGAUCACUUUGAAAAGUUUGAUGAGUACUUUCAUGCAGCAAAGUUCAGAGUUUUGCAAUUUUGAGGGCCAAAUUUGCUUGGAUUAUUUAUAAUCCUUCUAUUAAUGAACAAAUAUUCUUCUCUAAUUUCCAAUAUGUUUUAUGUCUCAUUUGAUGAGGGGAUAGCCCUUUAUAGAUGCCCUUUUCGUCUUUUUAAACUUAUUUUUCAGUCAAGUGAAAAAAAAAAAAAAGAGUUUUGCCAAAGACAAAGUCAAGCUUCCACCAAACUACAAACCGCUAAAACAAACAUAACUCAAACUUAGAUUGAAAAAUACAUUUAAGAAUGCGGCCAUCCAGGUCUAGGUUUUGGCAUCAUUAUUUGGGUCUAAAGAGACCAGCAGAACACAAGGAUGCUCACCUUCAAAUUUUGAAAUCCUUUCAUGGGAUAUUGUCAUAUUCAUGAAGCCAAAACAUUUCUUAGUUUCUCAGCUCUGAAAUGGAAAUUUCUUUGAGAGCUUUUUGCAUUAGUGUCUUUGCCACAAGAAGUUCCUGAGAAAUGCUACUUAAAUUCUGGAGGAUUGCUUAGUAUUACAAGCAGAGUGAACAAGACAAAGUAUUCCUUCUUAUUAUUUCUUGCUUGACUGUUGUAUUACAGAGCAAUUGUAGUAUAUAUAGAGACAAGAAAACAAUGACAGCUAAUAAAGAAUAUUACACGGAAAAACCAAUUUGUCAGACUGCCAAUCAUGAGCCAAUCAUUUUAGAAUUCUAGAAUCUUCAGCUGCUCCAUGCUUAUGUGCUGAUAUUCUUCAGCACAGCUGUUCUGCCAGCUCAAUAAUCCUGACUCAUCUUCCAUGUCAGCUGGCUGUAGAUUACAGAAGCUUAGGUGGCAUGCCAGCUUGGAUUCAAGGUCAAUCUUUGACUCUUCACAACUGCUGUUUUCAACACCCUCUCUCAAACUCAAGGCCUUGUCAAUGACUUUGAGUUUGCUUCUAAAACAGCUAAACUUGUGGUGUGGUAAUGGCUUGGUCAGUACAUCUGCAAUCUGAUCAUUGCUGCCAAUAUAGUUUAUUUCCAAUUCACCCUUUGUAACUUUGUCUCUGAGGAAAUGAAGGUCUAUCUCAAAAUGUUUUGUUCUGGAGUGAUAGACUGGGUUUGCUGCUAUGGCUGCUGCACUGGUGCUGUCACUUAGGAUAAUUGGUAUAUUUUCAAUCUCCAUCUUCAACUCACCAAGUAGAGAAUUAAUCCAUGUGAUUUCAGUGCUGCAUAGAGCCAUUGCUCUAUAUUCUGAUUCAGCUGUUGACCUUGCUACUAUGCCUUGUUUUCUCGAGCUCCAAGCAACCAGAUUAUCUCCCAAGUACACACAGUAUCCACUUAUGGAUCUUCUGUCAUCUGGAUCAGUUGCCCAAUCUGCAUCCGUAUAGGCAAUGAGAUCCAGAUGUUCAGAUUUUCUGAAACUUAAACACAUAUUCAUUGUGUUUUUGAGGUAUCGCAGCACUCUUUUGCAUGCCACCCAAUGUGGUUGUCUAGGAUCAGACGUGAACUGACUGAGCUUGUUAACUGAGAAAGCAAGCUCUGGCCUGGUCAAUACUGCAUAUUGCAGGCUUCCUAUGAUGCUUCUAUAGAGUGUGGGAUCGUGGAACCUGUUCCCAACAUCUUUUUUCAAUUUCUCAGAAGUGCUAAAGGGUGUCUCUAUUCCUUUACAGUCUAUCAUUUCUGUUUUGGCCAGCAAGUCUUGAAUAUAUUUUGCUUGAGAGAGUAGGAUAGAGUUUUGAUUCCUUAGAACUUGUAUCCCAAGAAAGAAAUUUAGAUUUCCAAGAUCCUUCAAAGCAAAGGAUGUGUUCAGAUCUUUAAUGACUUCCUCAAUGCCUUGACUGUCACUUCCAGUGAUUAUGAUGUCAUCUACAUAUAUGAGCAUGAUGACUAUCUUUGAUUCAACUCUUCUGAAAAACAGAGAUGUGUCACUCCUGGAAUUUUUGAAUCCCCAAGAACUCAAGGCACCUUUUAGUUUAUCAAACCAUGCUCUCGGAGCUUGCCUCAAUCCAUACAAAGCCUUUUCCAGUUUGCAAAUGUAGCUUGGUCUGUUCUUGUCUGCAAAACCCUCGGGCUGUGGCAUGUAUACUGCCUCUGUCAGGUCACCAUUCAAGAAGGCAUUGUUUAUGUCCACUUGCCUAAGCAACCAAUCAUUGCUACUGCCAUGGUUAGGAUGAUUCUAAUAGUUGCAGCCUUAAUAACAGGGCUGAAGGUUUCAUUGAAAUCAAGUCCUGGAGUUUGCAAGAAUCCCUUUGCAACUAAUCUGGCCUUGUACUUGUUGAUGCUGCCAUCUGAGUUUUCCUUUACUUUGUAGAUCCACUUAUUUCCAAUCAAUUUGCAAUUUUGGUUGUUUGGUAUCAAGGUCCAGGUUUUGUUUUUCAUCAAUGCAUGAUACUCAUCCUCCAUUGCCUUUUUCCACUUGGGAUCCUUCAAAGCAUCAAAGGUGUUUUUGGGAAGAGAUGGUUGUGUUUUACUGGAAACCUGGUACAGCUUUGGUUUGAAGAUGCCAGCCUUGGAUCUUGUCACCAUGGGGUGUGAAAGUAAGGCCUUUUGUGUGGGAAGGUCUUGGUUGUUUAUUUCUGUAAUGUGAGGUGGACUGUGAGUUGAAAGGCUACCUGAUAUUGUGUCAGUAUCAUUUACCUGUUGCAUUUCAUUCUGGACUGGACUUGGGAUACAUUCUGUGUUUCCAGUAGUGUCUGGAGAGUUGCUAUGAGCUGAUACUACUUGUGUGAGACCAUGGGGACUGUUGACAGAAAAUGACACAACCUGAAAUUUUUCAAGUAAGACAACUUCAUCACCUUCCUUUACUGACUCUUGUUUCCUAAAGCUAGAAUCAUUUUCGAAGGGAAAGGAUUUUUCAUUGAAUUUGACACAAGCUGAGAUAUAGAUUCUUCCUGAAUUGUUCAUACAAACAUAACCUUUGUGAGCACUGCUCAUCCCUAAUAGGAUGCAUUUGGAAGUGUGAAAAUCAAGUUUGUGUCUGUUGUAUGGUCUAAGAAAUGGAAAACACUCACAUCCAAAGAUUUUAAUUUGUGUAUAAUCUGGUUUGAAAGAAUACAAUAACUCAAAUGGUGUCUUGUUCUUUAGCACAGGUGAGACAAGUCUGUUGAUAAUGAAGGUAGCAUAGCUGAAGGCUUCUUGCCAGAAUUUUAAAGACAUUUUGGCUUGGGCAAGUAAGGCAAGUCCAGUCUCCACAAUGUGUCUGUGUUUUCUCUCAACCUUGCCAUUUUGUUCAUGUAAGUAUGGACAUGAAUGCCUUAGAGUUAUUCCCUCUCUUUUCAAAUAUGGCUCAAAGGCUUUGAACUCUCCUCCUAUGUCUGUUUGUAGUGCUUUGAUUGUUAGGUUCAAUUGUUUUUCGAUCUGAUUUUUAAAGGUAAUGAAGGUUUCAAGAGCUUGAGACUUGGUUGCUAAAGGGAAAAGCCAUGUGUAUCUUGUUCUAUCAUCAACAAAAGAGAUGUAAUAUCUAUGUCCAUGAGUGGAUAGAAUUGGAGCUGGUCCCCAAAGGUCUGUGUGAAUCAGUUCAAGGGCUGUCUUAGUUUUGGUUUCAGUGCUUUUGAAUGAUUGUUUUGAUUGCUUUCCAUAUUGGCAUGCAGAGCAAAAUGAAGGAACAAUAUCUUUAUUAAUUUUGAGCUGAUUACAAGAUAGCAAGGUGUUUUUCAGAACUGAAGUACUAGGGUGUCCUAGUCUGGAAUGCCACACAUCAGCUUCUUCAACAGCUUGCAGAUUGUUGCUACUUGACUCAUCAGCUAUAUUUGACUCGACACUAACAUUGACUGACUCAUUACUUGAAUUGAAAGACAACAUGGACACUGGACAACUACUAUUAUUUAAUGACUCUGAAUUUGACAGAAUAGAAGAAAAAACAGCAUGUGGAUUUUUGUUCCUGCUCAGGAUGGCAGGUAAGUGCAUCAGCUCAUAUAGUCCAUCUCUAGCCACUCCUUUCACCAGAAUUUUCCCUUGUCUCUUGUCCUUAAUAAAACAAACAGAUUUUUGAAACUCAACAUCAACAUCAUUGUCAUGCAGCAGUUUAGAAAUGCUAAUGAGGUUUUUGGUUAUGUUAGGCACAUAUAAUAUAUCAGUCAAGGUAAUGUGCUUGUGUGGAUCAUAUGUGGGCAAAGCAGAAUAACCAAUGUGACUAAUCAAAAGCUUUUCACCAUUACCAACAGCUAGCUUGUUUUUACCUUGGUAUUCAGAGUUGAUGCUGAGAUUUCCAAGAGAGUUAGUCACAUGGUUGGUAGCACCACUGUCAAGGUACCAAGCUCCACUGCUUUGACCUUCAGCUGCAGCAACAUAAGCACCCCUCUGCUCUCUUCUUCUGUUUGGCUGAGGUACAAAGUUCUUCUUGAAUCUGUGCCAACACUCAGCUGCUGUGUGCCCCAUUUUCCAGCAGAUUUGACAUGGCCCUUUUGGAUCAGAACCACUGUCAUCAGCCACUGCUUUUCCUUUUCCUUUGUCUUGAGGAUUCUGAUUGGUUUGGUUGUUUGUGGUGUUGUUUCCAGGAUUUCUGAAGACAAUUCCAGGCAGCUACUGAUGGGCAGUCCUUUCACUGUUGUUCCAGUUCCUUCUUCCAUUCCUCAUUUGAGUAUAGUUUGCUUCAAUGUUCCAUGAGCUCAGGUUUUGCUCAGUUCUGUUUUCUUGACUCAAGAGCAUACCAUAUACUUCCGAGAUAGAGGGACUCUCCUGCAUUGAGUUGAUGUUGGUAACUACUGAGUCAUAUUCUGGCCCCAAACCAGCAAGCACACACAUGAUGAAAUCAUCAUCAUUCAUGCUAUUCCCUGCAGCUCUGAGUGAGUUCAGUAAAGUUUUCAUUUUUUAGUAGUAUUCAUGAAUGGUAAAUGAACCCUUUUUAGUAGUUUGAAUUUGAGUUCUGAGAUAUAGGACUCUUGCCCUUGUUCUAGCACCAAAAUUGGUUGGCUAGAGUUGUCCACACCUCACAGGAGGUGGAACAAUCUACCACUGUGCCUAAGACUCCUUCACUUAGAGAAGAGAGUAACCAACUAAGUAGGAUAUGAUCCUGUUUCCUCCAAAUCUGGUAUUCAGGGUUAGGUGUGGUUAUGGUGGAUAGAUUUGGUCCAGGACUCAUGAAAACCUUAGGAGGGCAAACAUGGCUGCCAUCAACAAACCCCUCAAGCUCAUUUGCUCUAAUGCUAGAAAUCACUUGUGAUUUCCAAAGCAUAAAGUUGCUUUGAGUUAGUUUGAUUGGAGUAGUAAAGACAUAGGUGUUGCUAGUGAUAUGCUGGGUUGGUGAUGCACUUAUUUGUGCUGUGUUUCUGGUGUUAAGGCCUGGAUUUUGUGGCUCAGUGUUUUGAUUCAAAUCGUCUGGUUGAUCACUUGAAUCAACCUGUGUUGGAUUAACAUUUGUUUCAUUGUCACUGCUGCUUGCUAUAGCUAAAGGAAUAGCUCUGAUACCAACUUAAAUUCUGGAGGAUUGCUUAGUAUUACAAGCAGAGUGAACAAGACAAAGUAUUCAUUCUUAUUAUUUCUUGCUUGACUGCUGUAUUACAGAGCAAUUGUAGUAUAUAUAGAGACAAGAAAACAAUGACAGCUAAUAAAGAAUAUUACACGGAAAAACCAAUUUGUCAGACUGCCAAUCAUGAGCCAAUCAUUUUAGAAUUCUAGAAUCUUCAGCUGCUCCAUGCUUAUGUGCUGAUAUUCUUCAGCACAGCUGUUCUGCCAGCUCAAUAAUCCUGACUCAUCUUCCAUGUCAGCUGGCUGUAGAUUACAGAAGCUUAGGUGGCAUGCCAGCUUGGAUUCAAGGUCAAUCUUUGACUCUUCACAACUGCUGUUUUCAACAAUGCCUUGCAUUGUGGGUCGAGAUUUCGGUUGAGAACGCACGCAAGCAAAUGCUAUUGUUGAAACAAGAAUAAUAUUUUGAACGAUCUUUUGAUUCACUGGUGGCAAGAGACGUUGGUCUAAAAUAUCGAUCAACAUGAUUUUUGGAUCCAAUGAUGAUGAUGAUAAUGAUGAGAGGAGUUCUCCUGGAUGUGUUCCCAUCAAUAUUUCGAGUGCCACUACCCCAAAACUAUAAACAUCACAUUUCUCUGUCACAACCAUAGUGUAGGCAAGUUCUACAUGAAAAGAAAAGGUGUACGAUUAUGUCUUUGAAAGUAAAACCAUAGAGCGUAAAAAGAAAUACAACCAAUUACUUUAUUCACUUGGGGCAAUAUAUCCGUAAGUGCCCGCUCGUAGGGUUCUAUUUGAUGAAUCAACAUGUAGAAGUCUAGCAGUGCCAAAAUCUGCAACAAAUGCCUCCAAAUUUGAGUAGAGUAUAAUGUUGUUGCUUGAUAUGUCGCGGUGAACAAUUGACAGAGUGCAGUCGUGAUGCAGGUACGACAAAGCAUGAGCCACACUCUUCACGAUGUUCACUCUUUUAGUCCAAUUCAACUCAAUAGCUUCGUCAUCAUGGCGUAAAACACAGAACAAGCUUUCUCUUUCCAUGUACUCAUAAAUCAAAAACAUGCAUUUUUUGUGCAAACAAAAACCAUAAAGUUUCACAAUGUUCCGAUGUCGUACAGUGGAGAGUACAUGAGCGUCGUUUUGGAAACUCUUGACAAAAGCUGAAUCCUCUGUUUCAGAAUGGUGAAGCUUCUUCAAAGCAACAACUUUUCCGUCUAGUAGCUCUGCCUUGUAAACACUGCCAUAACCUCCAGUUCCGAUGCAAUAUUUAAUAUGAAAAUCUUCAGUUGCAUUAAUCAAAUCUUCAUAUAAAAUUUUACCAUCAUAAUUCCACACCGAAAACACAUCUCCAUUCUUGGCAGCUCUUGAGUUGAGUUUCAGAGUUUUAUUCUGACGUUUAAGGAGUAAUAUGAAUCAUAAUAUAAAGAAGGCGAGAACUAGACUGAGAGGAAGAAAAAUUUUAACAAACAGAAUGAUUGAAGGUGGAUGCUUCUGACUUUGAGAGCAAGAAGGAAAACCUUCAACAUGGCCGCAAAAACCAUUGUUGCCGGCAAAACUCUUUGGUGGAUUAUCCCGCAAAUUAGAAGGAAUUUCACCUUCCAAACUGUUGAAUGACAUGUCUGAAUGCAUUGGAUAGAGAGUCUUAGGUAUGGUGCCUGAAAGGUUAUUGUGGGAAGGUCCAAGUUUGAAGCAAUAAAAUUUCUCCCAUUUCUGGGGGAAUAGUUCCAUCCAAACUGUUGUGGUUCAAUGUUAAAUUCUUUAACUCUGAGCAGUUGCCAAUCUCAGUUGGAAUAGAACCACCAAGUUUAUUUUUAGAGAGGUCGAGAUACUUAAGGUUGAAGAGUUUUCCAAUUGCAGAAGGUAUCUGCCCUGAAAGUAAGUUUGAGGAAAGGUUGAGAUUUUUGAGUUGGGAUAACUUGGUGAGCUCAUCUGGAAUGAUACCAUGUAUUUUAUUAUCAGAUAAGUCUAACUCCUCUAGAGCACUAAGAUUCCCUAUUUCUAGUGGAAUGGAGCUGUGGAGUUGGUUAGAACUGAGAUCCAAUUGGAGCAAGCUGGUUAACUGACCUAGAGUUGAAGGAAUAGCUCCGGUUAGCUUGUUAACUUUGAUAAACAAAUAAGUCAAAUUCUUUAGAUGUCCUAUUUCUCGUGGAAUUGUGCCAUUGAACUGGUUGAAACCAAGAUAUAAAACCUCAAGGUUUGUUAAACGAAAUAGGGUUGAAGGAAUAGGCCCACCUAAUGUGUUAUUCCUCACAAACAGUCCGAUUAGACUUUUUAGAUUCCCGAUUUCUUGAGGUAAUACACCACUGAGUUUGUUACUACUCAAAUCAAGCCCCUCUAGAUUUCUUAAGCUCCCAAUUUCUUUUGGUAUAGUACCUGCAAUGUGAUCGAUUAAAGGACGAAUGAAUUUCAAUGAUUAUUUUUCAAUGAAUAUAAAUUUAAUAUAUAGCUAGGCUAGCAAGCCACCAUAAUUUUUUGGUAACUCACCAUUGAGAUUGUUAUUACUCAAAUCAAGCACCUUCAGAUUUCUUAAGCUCCUAAUUUCUUUUGGUAUAGUACCUGCAAUGUGAUCGAUUAAAAGACGAAUGAAUUUCAAUUAUUAUUUUUCAAUGAAUAUAAGUUAAAUAAAUAGCUAGCCACCAUAAUUAUUUGGUAACUCGCCAUUGAAGUUGUUACUACCCAAAAGAAGCUCCUUUAAAUUUCUUAAGCUCCCAAUUUCUUUUGGUAUAGUGUUUGCAAUAUGAUCGAUUAAAAGAUGAAUGAAUUUCAAUGAUUAUUUUUCAAUGAAUAUAAAUUAAAUAAACAGCUAGGCUAGCUAGCCACCAUAAUUAUUUGGUAACUCACUCACCUGUAAGAUUAUUCCGAUCCAGAUCAAGGUAUUUGAGAUUUGAAAGAGAACCAAUUUGGGACAGAAUGCUUCCCGAUAGAUUAUUGUUCGAAAGAUCGAGAUAUUGCAGGUUUGGAAAGCAAGAAAAGUUGAGACGGCCAAGUUCCCCUUUGAUCUUGCUUUCCGCUAAGCCUAUGUCAGUGAUCCUUCCUUCAUAAUCGCAAGUGAUACCAACCCAACCGCAAUGAUCUGAAGUAUUGUGAGGAAUCCUGUCCUUCCACCAGCCGCUGUUGAGUAAAGCUUGUCUUUCUAUUUCAGAUGCUGCAACAUGAAUACUAAUGUUGGUAGCAGAUGCAACAUGGACUAUCAAAAGAGUAAGGGCAGCCCAUAUGAAUACGAUGACUGCUCUGCAAGUAUUGAAGAAACCACACUCCAUGUUUAAGAUAGUUUCAACAAAGCUAGGUUCAAGCUAAAAUGAUUUUUGGAUUUUGUUCAUGAACAAACCUGCGGGUGACUAAACUCUGCCUACUUAAAUAAUUUUGAGAUGAUGGACUAAUUCAUAUAUUUUUACGUAUGUACAUAAUUCAUGUUUUAUUAACGCGGUUUCAGUAAAAUUACAGUAAAAGAAGAGCAGACAGUAAAGCAUCAGACAACGUUUUAAGUUUGAAAUGAAUAAAUCGAUCGUGAUGUGUCUUUAGACCGAGUCCAGAUGAUAUUAUUACUUUUUUUUUUCUCUUGGGGUCACAUGCACGUUUUUCCUUCAUUUGACAAGUGUAGAGACUUCUAUAAAACAAUUAAAGCUAUUCACAAAUUGAAUAAUGAAUCACUUUUCCUAUUAUGUAGAAAGUGGUUUGAUUUCUUGAGAAAACAGACACCAUGUUUAACAUUAUUUCAACCAAGGUUGAUGGGAAAUGACUCUGCUCUGGCCAAGAAUUUUUUAUUUUAUUUUUUCGUAAUAUAGGUAUGGGUACUAGGUAUUCAAAAUCGAUUUUUUAGCCCUUAUAUUUUUUAGGAUUCGAACUCUCUAAUUAAAUCUGCUUGAAACCUCCCGGGCAGGGUCCUGAGGGAGGCUAAGACUAAAAUUGAUGAGUAGUUGAUCUCUUAACUUUGAGUUGAUAUAUUAUAAAGAAAAUGUUUUCCUAUAUACUAUACAUAUUCGUGUUUCAUGUACCCAACUUUUUCUGAAACGCGGUUUUAAAAAAGUUGCGGAAGAAGCAGAGAAGAAAGUAAAUUAAUUAAAGCAUCGAACAUAGUUUUGAUUUUGAAAUUAAUAAGUCAAUCGUCAUGCCUUUAGACCGAAUCCAAAUUAUAUUCUCUUUACAUUCGUAAAGCAUAGUUUUCUUCUUAUUUUUUGGGGUGGUGCCCCCAGGAUUUUAGAGGUUUAGACCAUGGAUUGGGACAAUAACACACUGGCUUUAGCCACACAAAUCUACUUAAAAUUAUAGCACUUGGCUACUUAGGGGGCUUUUGUAACCUUGUUUUAGACAAAAAAAAUGAUGUUUAUGAUAGUAAUAUUUUUAAAAAUUUAAAUGCAUGCCUUAGUUUUUUUUUUUAAAUCAAAAUUAUAUAUAAAAAUGAAAAGAGCAAAAACACGUUUGGUUACAUUUUCUCACCGACAAAGUCACACUUGGUUUUUCUAAUUUACUGUUUAAGUUUGAAAAUUACUCUACUACUUACAUUUCAUUGAAUAAUCACCUUCACUUUAUUGUAGUACUUUUUCAAUGACUAAAACUUUAAGAGUGCCGAUGUUUGCCCCGGGUCAAACCCCGAACUUGAAAAAACGACACCGUUUUAAGGAUCAAUUUUUGUUAAGACAGAUGAGCUCCUUUCUUCACGCAACGAUGCCGUUUUGAGGACUAAUCUUUGGCUUUAACUUCAUCCAAUAAGAUAGAAGCAAAGAAAACAUGAAUGAGGCAAGACAGAAACUUGAUGCUUUAAUUCAAUAAACAAAAACAAUAAAAAUUAAAAAACAAUAAUUUUGUGUCUUUUAGUUCCAGCAAUGAAGUUCAUCAUCAACAGUACAGACUCUUUAUCUCAAGCACCGGAAUUAGUCAAAUGUCUUUGGGAAGAAAUAUCCUCGUCUUGAAACUUAUCAGCAAACCUUCAAAUUUGGGUUAUGAAUGAGAUGAAGAAGGUCGAAGCAUUGCAGUUAUGCACAGUCAUGCAGAGACUUUCAAACUAAUAUAUUUUUCAUUAAGAUUUUAUUUGUUAAAAAUCUUAGCCAAUACAGCACCGCUGCAGUGACGAUGGCGACAACAAUGGGUUUCUUGUUGAGACCCCUCUGCAUAUCCACAACCUCCACAAUCCUCUCAAAAUACCAACUCCGUAAACCCCACCUCACUUCUAUCCCCACCCGUCGGCUCUUCUUCUCUCACAAUUUCUCCUCUCUAGCUCUCACACCCACAACAGUCACUACUAAAGCCUUCGCCCCAACUCUCUGUUCCCCACAACCACAGGACCAACAAGAAGAGCAAGAGCAAUAAUUGCUCCUCAACUUGUUCUUGAGAUUUGAGAACCAAUUUAACGGUGCGUUUUUGACAGAAGGCAAACGGUGCGUUUUUAACUUAAUAAAACGGUGCUUUUAGUUCAGGGUUUGACCCGGAAUUUGACCCGGGGCAAACAUCAUUUUCCAAACUUUAACUCUAACUCAUGCACAUGAAAAAUUGAAGUCAAAGUUCUACAGGAAUUUCUAAAAAUGUUUUUUUUUUUUUUGAUACGGAAACAUUGACCAUUUGAAAAACAGCUUCAAUGAAAGGUACCUUAAUGCCGUGAAACACAUUCAAGGAUUAACAAACUACAUGGAUCAAGCAACCAAAUUCAUUCCUUGUUUUCAAAGUUUUUGGAUUGAAAUUUCUUGAAAAAGCAAGUUUUGGUAAUGGACAGGUUCUGUUUAAACAAAUUGACGUUUAAACAAACCACAUCCAUCUGAUCCUAAGAUUUUGUUAUUAUAAGAAAUACGAAAAGUCAAAGAAGAAAUGCUGACAUCAUGAAUCCUGCAGCAUGAUCGUGAAAAUUCAAAGAAAAAAAUGUCGGUGUCAUGAAUCUCGAGGGAAGAUCAUAAUUCCUACAGCAGAGUUAUGAAAAAUCAAAGAAGAAAUGCUAGUGUCGUGAAUCUUGCAGUACGAUCAUUAGUCCUGCAACAGAGUCCAUAAAGCCCAUGAAGCUUGCAGCAGAACCACUAACUCUACAACAGAGCCCAUUAGUUCUGCAACAAAAUCAUAAGUCCAUGGACUAGAUGCAAGAUCAUGGACUACGUAGAAGAUGGUGCCAAAAAGUUCAAAUCACCACAAGUCUGUGAGACCAUGAUUCAACCCCCAGCUCUAAACGUGGAAUGAUUUAGAAGCUCGAUUCAAAGAGAUAGGGAUAUAAAUCAGUUGUGCUAUCAUCCAUAGAAGAUAAUAUUAUGGAUUAUCUGAAUCUUAAGUGACAUAAAUGAAGAGUUUGGAUUAGAAUUCUUUGUUAUCAGUAGAACACUAUAUAUAUAACGCCUCUCUUAGUACACAAAAGAUGAGGUGACUAUAACAACAAAAGUAGGAAUCAUUUUUUUAUAGUGAAAGCUUUAAAUUCCUACUUGUGGACGUGGGCUAAAUGUUGGAUGACAUUAAAUUUUAUGUUAUAUUUAGUAUAUUUAAUUUAUUUUACUAGUUGACAAGAUUUUUAUGCCAACAUAUUUAAAUUUUCCAAGAGACAGCUUAAUGACACUUAAAUGAAGCAUAUUAGUGUGCCAAGUUUUCUGAUGACACUCAAAUCAAGCUUAGGCCUUAUUAGCUCCACCUCUACAUGUGUUUUUCUGCCUUGCUUUCUUCCUCUUUGGUUUUUGUAUCAGAUGCGGAUGUGUUUUGAACCAUCCUUGAUUCAUGAAAGACCACAUCUUCGCUUAUGAUACACCUAAGUUUCUUCAAGGCUGUACAUCGAAGGUUGUAUACUUCGAUCCCAUAUGGAUAUCUCAGGAAUGCAUAUUUCAAAGCUCUUGAUUCUAGUUAUUUUUGCUCUGCAUAUGCGUAUACAAAACAACCAAAUAUCUUCUAAUUGGAUUACUCUACUGGUUUCCAGACCAUAUUUCAAUUGGAGUCUUGAAUGGAUCAACAUGCAUUUCAAUGUGCAUAAAUAUCACAUUAAUACAUCUGCCAAAAACUUUUGUUGAGAUGUAUGCCUUACUAUCUUGUGCCCAGCUAUCCUAUUAAUUGCACGUAAAUCUUCAAACCUUUUGCUGCAAAAUCUAAUCCAUUAUUAGGUUUUUUAUCUCUUGAUCUUUCUGCCAAUUUGUGUUUCAAUGAGUGUUUUUUAAGUUUUAAACUUAUCAAACACUUUAUUUAUGUCUUCAACAUACUUACACCAUUCUAAAAUAAUUAUCUAUUAGAGAAAAAAAAAGUACAGCUAGGCACAAGAUAUUAUAGUACUAUUAAAAUGCAUUUGAGGAAUAUUGUAAUACUAGACUAUUGUCGGCACUUGUCUAACAAAUUAUUUACGAUUGAUUUGCCCCUGCUCCUUGAUAAUAGAUUUUUGGUUUUGAAUCUAGAGCAUGCGUUCAUUAUUUUCCAACCUACUUUGAAAAAUUAUUUUCAGAAAUUGAAAACAAAGUUUAUCGAACAGUAUUUAUCACCAAUCAGUUGAAUGGCACUGUACCUGCAUGUGUGCAUAUUGUUGGGAAAAUAUGCUCUUUAAAAGCAUAUGUAUUUAUUUAAUUGUAAUAAAUAAUUUUUCUGAUUAAUAAAAUAAAUGAGGUAUUUUAUUCAAAUAUCUUAAUUGCAUUAAUAUUUGUAUUAAAGUCCAUUUAAUCAUAUUAUAUGUAUUUAUGUGAUCACCAUGUGGAUUCACAGAAGACAUAAAUACAAGUUAUCUUAUGAUUAAAUAAAUUUAGUUCGCAGUUGAUAAAUAAAGUUGGGCACUUUAUUUAGGUAUAGACUGUAAUAAAUUCAUUGAAUGAUUUGUCUUAAUCAUGUAUGAAUUUAUUGAUGUAGUACGACUACAUUGAACAGGAUCACAUAUGAGAUUUAAUUAACUUUGUAAUAACUGUCAGACUUAUUAAAUCUCAUAGGCGUUGAUUUUACUGUAAUCUUAAUCUUGAGUUAAUUAUGAUUUCAUGAUUGCGAUUGUUAUUUCAUUUGAGUUACCAAUGGGCACGACACAUCCUUGUGGUCAAGAUUACCCGGUAUCUUGGUGGGAGCAAUUAUGAGUAUUGGAGUUAUGGAUUAACAAUAUAGAAUUUGUACAACACAUCUCUUGAUAGGUUUUCGGUACUUGAUCAUAGAAUUCUCUGGCCAGAGUGUGUCAACAUAUUUAGUAUGUUGAAAAUGAUCAUUAGAGAAAACCAGUAAGGAUCAAGGAAUAAGAUGUUAUUAAAUUGAUUGGACAGUUGAGAUAUCAAUUUAAUUAACGAUGUGGUACAAAGGAUUGUGCAGUAAAGAAAUCAAUGUGGCUUGGGACGAAUUAUUAUUCGAGCAUACAAUUAUGGAAGUCAGUUCCAAUCUUUUAGUGGAGUAGAUUUGAAAUUAAAUAAUUGGGCUAGUUUAAUUACAUGCCUAAUUAUUGUAGCCACUAUUGUAUGUUCCCAAAUGAUCCCCGGGUUAGCUCAUUUAAUUGACUGCACCACUACUGGACUAAUAAGCAAGAUAACUAGCUAUUUGGGUCAAAAGCCUAAAUAUAUCAUUUAGUGGGAGGCUCCAUUUAAUAAGCUUAUGUAUAAGGGGCCUUAUGUUAUUUUACAUGGUGGGUCCCCUAUUAAAUGAAAAGUAACGUGAGUUUUAUUUUGGGCAUUAUUUGGAGCCUAGGGUUUUCACUAAAGGGAGAUAUAUAAGGCUUAUUUUUCUCAACAAAAAAAAACAAGCAGCCACUUUAUACAGAUCAGAGAAUAAGAUUUUUCUCUCCAUUAUUGAGAGAAAAAUUUUCUCGUGCUAGUUGCUUUGGUAGUGAUAAAGGCGCCCACACGUCAAGUGCAGAUCGAACCUGAGUCAUAACCUGGAAGAUCAUUGGUGACAGUUCGUGAUCUAGCAAGCGUGGUGGCGACGGAUCGUGAUCUAACAGGAGUGGUGGUGGCAGAUCGUGAUCUAGGAGCCUAAAUCACUUCAGCGGAAAAAGCCAACUCGGAUUUUUAAGGUACGAUUUCUAGAAUACGAAUUCUUAUAUAUUAUAUGAGAGCGAUCUUCAAAAGGUUUUAUAAAAAUUUUAAGAACCUAAUUUUUCCCCAACACAUAUAUCUGAGCCAUCUCAUAUUAAUAUAUAAGAAUUUCGUAUGAAAUCAUUCUUGAAAUUUAUGUAUUAGAGUGGCACAAUUUAUUCAGAUAUAUAUUAAUUGUUUAAUAUAUGAAUAAAGCAUGUUUUGUUUUGUCUUAAUUCAUGGUUAGAUUUUCCGUUGUAUUUUUUCUUUGGAUCUAUAACAAGAGGGGUGAUUUUUUAUCAUCAUAUUUCCCUCUUGAUUUAUUUUACUGUUAUAGAAUUUUUGUAAGCCAAAAAUUGGCCUAGGAAAUUUGUAAAUUAAUCUCGGAUUUUCAAGAUCUAAGCGACGGAGGCCGGAAAUUUUGACAGCGGCAACCAGCAGCAAGCAGCGUGCGGCCAGCAGCACAUGCUGCAGCAAGCGCGCGCUGCACGCGCAGCGGCAGCAGCGCGCGCUGCAAGCCAGCAGCCAGCAACGCACGCUGUGCGUGCAGCAGCCAGCGCACGCUCACGUGCAACAGCCAGCACACGCAGCAGGCAGCGCGAGCAGGAGCUUUCCGUGCAGCGCGAGGGAGGUGUUUGGCACGUUUCCGGUGUGUCGGCGACGGCAAACUCGACGUUGAUAGCGGCUGUCCGGUGAGAUUGGCCUGAACAGUGGCCGUUUGUGCUGGUGGCGGCUGGGGAAGAAGAGGAAAAGAAAAAUGUGAUUUUAGGGUUCCAUGGUUUUUAUCGUGGAGGUCCCUAUAGCUUCAUAUUUUUCAGUUGGGCAGAAACGUUUUUUAAUUUUUUGCAUUUAAGUCCGAAAACGGUUUUGGGCUUAAAGAAUCCUAGUUUUAGGCCCAAUUUCAAUUGGGCUUAAUGGAUUAAAAUGCAUAGAUAAAAUUAAAUACAUUAAAUUUAUUUUUGGUCCAAAAGUUUUAUUUUAAUAAAAAAAAAUUUUUAUUUUAUUUUCUUUCAAAAUUAAAAUUGGACCAAUUAUAAAUUUAAAUGCCCAAUUUCUCCUAGUCCAUUAACAAAGUCAAGCUUAUGAAGGAUGGACAUUGACAAGAAGCCCAAUGAAGAUUAGGCUUAGGGUUAAUGUAUUUUUUUCAUUAUUAGGAAAGCCAUGAAUUAAGAUUAUUUAAUUGUUUUUCUAUAUGUUAUGUUUUGGAUGAUAACAUGCCAUGAUAACAUGUCAUAUAGAAUAGGUAGUGCCACUCUAUGCAUAAUGAUACAUGUCAUUCAUUAAUUAUGAAUUUCAUUAUAUUGUUUGAAAUUUGCACAUGCUUAAUAAUAUUUGAUAUCAUCUAGAUAAUAUUAUAGGAAGCAUGCAAUUAACAAUAUGUAUGUUUUAAAAAGGAAAAAUCAAUUUUAAAAUAUUGAGUGGGAGAGGGAAAAUUCAAGAUAAUUUUCCCACGGGCUCCAUUGUUAGUUCAAUAAUAAAAUUAUAUAUAUACCUCGACUUCAUGAUACGGUGAUGCUCCCUUCGGAGGGUAUAUAUAUUAGAUAUUUUAUUUGAUGAACUUCUUCAAAGAUAAAAUUGAAAUAUUUUUCAAUCGAUUGUUCACCCCAACGGUGACUAUUGAUAUGAAAAAUACGUAGAUUGAAAUAAUGGUUAUACACUCAACUAAAGUUUGUUAUUAACCUUCCCAACGAAGCUCUGUUAACAAAUUUAGGCCCAAAUGGAUAACGAUAAUUAUUUAUCAUGUCUCUACAUGAAAGUAAAUAAUCUAAUGGAUAAUUGGGUCUAGUAAGUGUAGACAUGACUUCCCCAACGGAUAGCUUGUCAAAGCGGUACUAGAUUAUCGUUACAAUAAAUUAAAAUGCAUUUAUGGUUUUUUUUUGCAUUUUUGUCAUUUAUUGUGAAUAUUAUUUCAAAUUAUUUAUGCAUGGAUGUUUUAUUUUUCAGAAAAUGUCUUCCCUGAGCCCACUUACUAUUAUUCUGAGUCAAAACAAACUCACUGGAGAGAACUAUAUAGAUUGGAAAAGAAAUCUAUUCAUUGUCCUGACUGCUGAAAAUUAUAAAUAUGUCUUAACCCAGCCAUGCCCCCCAGUUCCAGCAGAUGAUGCUCAUAGAAAUCAGAGGAGGCUUUAUGAGAAAUGGCAAAAGGCCAAUGAAAUGGCAAAGUGCUACAUUUUAGCCUCGAUUUCUAAUAUUCUGCAGACCAAACAUCAGAACUUGGAGACUGCCACUGAAAUAAUGGAUAGUCUCCAACAGAUGUUCGGGCAGAGUACUCGCUCUGCGAGACAAGCAGCGCUGAAAGGAAUUAUGAACAGUAAAAUGGGGAAGGGCACAAGAGUUCGUGAUCAUGUCCUCAAAAUGAUGGACUAUUUGAAUGAGGCUGAGAUUCAGGGAGCACAAAUCGAUGAUAACUCAAAGAUUGACAUGGUGCUAGAAUCUCUGCCAGAAACAUUCAAGGAGUUUAAGGUCAAUUAUAACAUGAACAAAAGAAAUAUGACCUUAACUGAAUUGAUGAACGAACUCCAUUCUGCUGAAGAGAUCUAUCGUGCUGAGAAAUCUCUGGGAAGCAUAAAUAUUACUGAAAAAAGUUCAUCUUCUGGGCCUAAACCGAAAGGCAAAGGUAAGAAGAAAGCUGGGAAAAAGAGACCGUCUACCAAGCAAGAUGGCAAGCCGAAAGGCAAAUGCUUCAAGUGUGGACAGAAAGGUCACUGGAAAAAGGAUUGCCCUAAGAUUGUGAAAUCAGGUAUGGGAAAUCUUUUUGUAAUUGAGGCCUGUUUAGUUUAGAAUCCUAUUGACACUUGGGUGUUGGAUUCAGGAGCAACUAAUCAUAUUUGUAAUUCACUUUAUUGGUUUCAGGAAACCAGGAAAAUAAGUGAAGGAAGCGUCAAGCUGCAGUUAGGGACAGGACAGUUCGUGUCAGCAGUAAAGACUGGAUCUGUUUUAUUAUCUUUUAAUAAUGAGACUUUAGUUUUGAAUAAUUGUCUUUAUGUUCCAGACAUUAAGAGGAAUUUAAUUUCAGUAGCUUGUUUGUCAAAGCAAGGGUACACUGUAAAUUUUGGAUCCUCUGUUUCUAUUUUUCAUAAUAAGAGACUUAUUUGUUCUGGUACAUUGGAAGAUAAUUUAUAUCAUUUAAGUCCAAUGAUCCAUUCUAUGCAUGACACAGUGAUAAAUAAUGAUGAGCAUACACAUUUAUCUAAGAAAAAAAUAUUUCUUCCAACCAAUGUUACCUCUGGCAUUUACGCUUGGGUCAUAUAAACCAAAAUAGGAUACAGAGAAUGAUCAAAGAUGGGCUCUUGGGUCCAUUAGAAAAUGAAUCAUUGCCACUCUGUGAAUCCUGUUUAGAAGGAAAAAUGACCAAAAGGCCAUUCUCGGCCAAAGGAGUACGUGCAACAGUACCACUUGAAUUGGUACAUACAGAUGUAUGUGGACCAAUCAAUGUACAAGCUUGAGGAGGUUAUGAGUAUUUCAUCACUUUUACUGAUGAUUACUCAAGAUACGGUUAUGUUUAUCUGAUGCGUUAUAAGUCUGAAGCUCUUGAGAAAUUCAAAGAGUAUAGGGCUGAGACAGAAAAGCAAUUAGAUAAGAACAUAAAGAAACUUCGAUCUGAUCGAGGUGGUGAAUUUCUCUCAGGAGAUUUCAAAGAGUAUCUGGUUGAAAAUGGGAUUAUAUCUCAAUUGACUGCCCCGGGAACACCACAACAAAAUGGGGUAGCUGAAAGAAGAAAUAGAACUCUUUUGGAUAUGGUGAGAUCUAUGCUUAGUUAUUCGUCAUUACCAAUCUCUUUUUGGGGACUAGCACUGGAAACUGCAGUUUACCUUUUGAACUUAGUUCCAUCUAAGUCAGUGCCUAAAACCCCAAUAGAAUUAUGGUCAGGUCGCAAACCAAGUUUACGACAUGUCCGUAUUUGGGGAUCACCAGCACAUGUACUGAAACCAAAGGCAGACAAAAUGGAUUCACGUUCUGAGGUUUGUAUGUUUGUGGGGUAUCCCAAAGGAACAAGGGGAGGUUUAUUUUAUAGUCUUCAAGAUAGGAAAGUGAUCGUGAGCACACAUUUCACUUCCCUNNNNNNNNNNNNNNNNNNNNNNNNNNNNNNNNNNNNNNNNNNNNNNNNNNNNNNNNNNNNNNNNNNNNNNNNNNNNNNNNNNNNNNNNNNNNNNNNNNNNGAACAGGAAGAACAGCAACAACCAGAUGAUCAACACAGGAUUAACCCUGAACAACCAUCACUUUUAGAACCUCGUCGUAGUGGGAGGGUAACUAGGUUACCUGCGAGAUACAUGCUUUUGGGAGAAACCUAUACGGCUAUCUCAGAUGAACAUGUACAAGAUCCCACUAGUUACAACGAAGCUCUAAUAGAUAGAGAUGUUGAAUUUUGGAAAAAGGCCAUGAAUCAAGAAAUGGAUUCUAUGUAUUCCAAUAAAGUCUGGGAACUUGUAGAGGCACCAAAUGGGGUAAAACCUAUAGGGUGCAAGUGGAUCUACAAGAGAAAAAGAGGAGUAGACGGAAGGGUGGAAACAUUUAAAGCAAGAUUAGUAGCCAAAGGGUUUACUCAGAAAGAGGGAAUCGAUUAUGAGGAAACUUUUUCUCCGGUUGCUAUGCUUAAAUCCAUCAGGAUUCUGCUCUCCAUUGCUGCAAUGCUAGAUUAUGAAAUUUGGCAAAUGGAUGUCAAGACUGCUUUUCUUAACGGGCAUCUUGAAGAAAACAUUUACAUGCAGCAACCAGAUGGAUUUAUACAAAAAGGCCAAGAACACAUGGUAUGUAAGUUGCAGAAAUCCAUUUAUGGAUUGAAACAAGCAUCCCGGUCAUGGAACAUCAGAUUUGAUCAAGCGAUUAAAUCGUUUGGAUUCAUUCAGAACAUUGAUGAACCAUGUGUGUACAAGAAAAUUCAAGAAAAAUCUGUAGCCUUCCUAAUUCUUUAUGUAGACGAUAUUCUCCUAAUUGGAAACGAUAUAGGAGUAUUGACUACAAUAAAGAGUUGGUUAGCGAAACAAUUUGAUAUGAAAGACCUGGGAGAGGCAAGUUAUAUUCUUGGUAUCAAGUUACUACGAGACCGAAAGAAUAAAACUUUAGCCUUGUCUCAAGCGGUCUAUAUCGAUAAGAUAUUGGCUAGAUUUAGCAUGGAAAAUUCCAAGACUGGUUUAUUACCAUUCAGACAUGGAAUUACAUUCUCUAAGGAUCAAUCACCUAAAACAUCUGAAGAGAUAGAGAGAAUGAGACGAGUUCCCUAUGCAGAAGCUGUGGGAAGUCUCAUGUAUGCCAUGCUUUGCACUAGGCCAGACAUCUGUUUUGCGGUAGGGAUGGUUAGUAGAUAUCAAUCUAAUCCUGGACCUGAACACUGGACUGCGGUCAAGCAUAUAAUGAAGUAUCUGAAAAGAACUAAAAAUUAUAUGCUUGUGUAUUCUGGCGAUGAACUCAUUCCAGUGGGUUAUACUGAUUCUGACUUUAUGUCAGAUAAGGAUUCCAGAAAAUCAACUUCCGGCUAUGUGUUUACAUUGGGAAGUGGAGCUAUUAGUUGGAGGAGUGUGAAACAAUCUUGUAUCGCAGACUCCACAACUGAAGCUGAAUAUGUGGCUGCAUCCGAAGCUGCAAAAGAAGCUGUAUGGCUCCGCAAGUUCCUACAAGAUCUUGAGGUGGUACCUGCUGUAACUGCACCCCUUAAACUAUUUUGCGAUAAUAGUGGUGCGGUAGCUCAAUCUAAGGAACCAAGGAACCACAAGAAACAAAAACAUAUUGAGAGGAAGUAUCAUCUUAUAAGGGAUAUAGUGCAGAGAGGUGAUGUGGAGGUUACUCAGAUUGCGUCACAGCAAAACUUGGCAGAUCCUUUUACUAAGGCCAUACCUGGGAAACCUUUUAACUUGCACUUAGAAUCCAUGGGCAUGCGUGAGAUGCCAGAUAUGCUUUGAGAGCUAGUGGGAGAUUGUUGGGAAAAUAUGCUCUUUAAAAGCAUAUGUGUUUAUUUAAUUGUAAUAAAUAAUUUUUCUGAUUAAUAAAAUAAAUGAGGUAUUUUAUUCAAAUAUCUUAAUUGCAUUAAUAUUUGUAUUAAAUUCCAUUUAAUCAUAUUAUAUGUAUUUAUGUGAUCACCAUAUGGAUUCACAGAAGACAUAAAUACAAGUUAUCUUAUGAUUAAAUAAAUUUAGUUCGCAGUUGAUAAAUAAAGUUGGGCACUUUAUUUAGGUAUAGACUGUAAUAAAUUCAUUGAAUGAUUUGUCUUAAUCAUGUAUGAAUUUAUUGAUGUAGUACGACUACAUUGAACAGGAUCACAUAUGAGAUUUAAUUAACUUUGUAAUAACUGUCAGACUUAUUAAAUCUCAUAGGCGUUGAUUUUACUGUAAUCUUAAUCUUGAGUUAAUUAUGAUUUCAUGAUUGCGAUUGUUAUUUCAUUUGAGUUACCAAUGGGCACGACACAUCCUUGUGGUCAAGAUUACCCGGUAUCUUGGUGGGAGCAAUUAUGAGUAUUGGAGUUAUGGAUUAACAAUAUAGAAUUUGUACAACACAUCUCUUGAUAGGUUUUCGGUACUUGAUCAUAGAAUUCUCUGGCCAGAGUGUGUCAACAUAUUUAGUAUGUUGAAAAUGAUCAUUAGAGAAAACCAGUAAGGAUCAAGGAAUAAGAUGUUAUUAAAUUGAUUGGACAGUUGAGAUAUCAAUUUAAUUAACGAUGUGGUACAAAGGAUUGUGCAGUAAAGAAAUCAAUGUGGCUUGGGACGAAUUAUUAUUCGAGCAUACAAUUAUGGAAGUCAGUUCCAAUCUUUUAGUGGAGUAGAUUUGAAAUUAAAUAAUUGGGCUAGUUUAAUUACAUGCCUAAUUAUUGUAGCCACUAUUGUAUGUUCCCAAAUGAUCCCCGGGUUAGCUCAUUUAAUUGACUGCACCACUACUGGACUAAUAAGCAAGAUAACUAGCUAUUUGGGUCAAAAGCCUAAAUAUAUCAUUUAGUGGGAGGCUCCAUUUAAUAAGCUUAUGUAUAAGGGGCCUUAUGUUAUUUUACAUGGUGGGUCCCCUAUUAAAUGAAAAGUAACGUGAGUUUUAUUUUGGGCAUUAUUUGGAGCCUAGGGUUUUCACUAAAGGGAGAUAUAUAAGGCUUAUUUUUCUCAACAAAAAAAAACAAGCAGCCACUUUAUACAGAUCAGAGAAUAAGAUUUUUCUCUCCAUUAUUGAGAGAAAAAUUUUCUCGUGCUAGUUGCUUUGGUAGUGAUAAAGGCGCCCACACGUCAAGUGCAGAUCGAACCUGAGUCAUAACCUGGAAGAUCAUUGGUGACAGUUCGUGAUCUAGCAAGCGUGGUGGCGACGGAUCGUGAUCUAACAGGAGUGGUGGUGGCAGAUCGUGAUCUAGGAGCCUAAAUCACUUCAGCGGAAAAAGCCAACUCGGAUUUUUAAGGUACGAUUUCUAGAAUACGAAUUCUUAUAUAUUAUAUGAGAGCGAUCUUCAAAAGGUUUUAUAAAAAUUUUAAGAACCUAAUUUUUCCCCAACACAUAUAUCUGAGCCAUCUCAUAUUAAUAUAUAAGAAUUUCGUAUGAAAUCAUUCUUGAAAUUUAUGUAUUAGAGUGGCACAAUUUAUUCAGAUAUAUAUUAAUUGUUUAAUAUAUGAAUAAAGCAUGUUUUGUUUUGUCUUAAUUCAUGGUUAGAUUUUCCGUUGUAUUUUUUCUUUGGAUCUAUAACAAGAGGGGUGAUUUUUUAUCAUCAUAUUUCCCUCUUGAUUUAUUUUACUGUUAUAGAAUUUUUGUAAGCCAAAAAUUGGCCUAGGAAAUUUGUAAAUUAAUCUCGGAUUUUCAAGAUCUAAGCGACGGAGGCCGGAAAUUUUGACAGCGGCAACCAGCAGCAAGCAGCGUGCGGCCAGCAGCACAUGCUGCAGCAAGCGCGCGCUGCACGCGCAGCGGCAGCAGCGCGCGCUGCAAGCCAGCAGCCAGCAACGCACGCUGUGCGUGCAGCAGCCAGCGCACGCUCACGUGCAACAGCCAGCACACGCAGCAGGCAGCGCGAGCAGGAGCUUUCCGUGCAGCGCGAGGGAGGUGUUUGGCACGUUUCCGGUGUGUCGGCGACGGCAAACUCGACGUUGAUAGCGGCUGUCCGGUGAGAUUGGCCUGAACAGUGGCCGUUUGUGCUGGUGGCGGCUGGGGAAGAAGAGGAAAAGAAAAAUGUGAUUUUAGGGUUCCAUGGUUUUUAUCGUGGAGGUCCCUAUAGCUUCAUAUUUUUCAGUUGGGCAGAAACGUUUUUUAAUUUUUUGCAUUUAAGUCCGAAAACGGUUUUGGGCUUAAAGAAUCCUAGUUUUAGGCCCAAUUUCAAUUGGGCUUAAUGGAUUAAAAUGCAUAGAUAAAAUUAAAUACAUUAAAUUUAUUUUUGGUCCAAAAGUUUUAUUUUAAUAAAAAAAAAUUUUUAUUUUAUUUUCUUUCAAAAUUAAAAUUGGACCAAUUAUAAAUUUAAAUGCCCAAUUUCUCCUAGUCCAUUAACAAAGUCAAGCUUAUGAAGGAUGGACAUUGACAAGAAGCCCAAUGAAGAUUAGGCUUAGGGUUAAUGUAUUUUUUUCAUUAUUAGGAAAGCCAUGAAUUAAGAUUAUUUAAUUGUUUUUCUAUAUGUUAUGUUUUGGAUGAUAACAUGCCAUGAUAACAUGUCAUAUAGAAUAGGUAGUGCCACUCUAUGCAUAAUGAUACAUGUCAUUCAUUAAUUAUGAAUUUCAUUAUAUUGUUUGAAAUUUGCACAUGCUUAAUAAUAUUUGAUAUCAUCUAGAUAAUAUUAUAGGAAGCAUGCAAUUAACAAUAUGUAUGUUUUAAAAAGGAAAAAUCAAUUUUAAAAUAUUGAGUGGGAGAGGGAAAAUUCAAGAUAAUUUUCCCACGGGCUCCAUUGUUAGUUCAAUAAUAAAAUUAUAUAUAUACCUCGACUUCAUGAUACGGUGAUGCUCCCUUCGGAGGGUAUAUAUAUUAGAUAUUUUAUUUGAUGAACUUCUUCAAAGAUAAAAUUGAAAUAUUUUUCAAUCGAUUGUUCACCCCAACGGUGACUAUUGAUAUGAAAAAUACGUAGAUUGAAAUAAUGGUUAUACACUCAACUAAAGUUUGUUAUUAACCUUCCCAACGAAGCUCUGUUAACAAAUUUAGGCCCAAAUGGAUAACGAUAAUUAUUUAUCAUGUCUCUACAUGAAAGUAAAUAAUCUAAUGGAUAAUUGGGUCUAGUAAGUGUAGACAUGACUUCCCCAACGGAUAGCUUGUCAAAGCGGUACUAGAUUAUCGUUACAAUAAAUUAAAAUGCAUUUAUGGUUUUUUUUUGCAUUUUUGUCAUUUAUUGUGAAUAUUAUUUCAAAUUAUUUAUGCAUGGAUGUUUUAUUUUUCAGAAAAUGUCUUCCCUGAGCCCACUUACUAUUAUUCUGAGUCAAAACAAACUCACUGGAGAGAACUAUAUAGAUUGGAAAAGAAAUCUAUUCAUUGUCCUGACUGCUGAAAAUUAUAAAUAUGUCUUAACCCAGCCAUGCCCCCCAGUUCCAGCAGAUGAUGCUCAUAGAAAUCAGAGGAGGCUUUAUGAGAAAUGGCAAAAGGCCAAUGAAAUGGCAAAGUGCUACAUUUUAGCCUCGAUUUCUAAUAUUCUGCAGACCAAACAUCAGAACUUGGAGACUGCCACUGAAAUAAUGGAUAGUCUCCAACAGAUGUUCGGGCAGAGUACUCGCUCUGCGAGACAAGCAGCGCUGAAAGGAAUUAUGAACAGUAAAAUGGGGAAGGGCACAAGAGUUCGUGAUCAUUUGGUUGGUAUAAUCCUCAGCUUCAUGUACACGUCCAGCACGAGCAAGCAAGUCAACCACACAAGAACGGCGCUCUCUUGUUGGUAUAAUCCCAUACUCAUUUUGCAUGAUCCUAUACAACUGCAACCCUUCUUCUACCAGUCCAACAUGACUGCAGGCUGUAAGGACACCAACAAGUGUCACAUGGUUUGGCCUAACUCCUGAACUUCUCAUCCUUCUAAACAGUUUAAGAGCUUCCUCUCCACAUCCAAACUGAGCAUAUCCCACAAUCAAACUACUCCACGAGACAACAUCUGGAUCCUCCAUAAAGUUAAAGAGCUUCCUCUCCACAUCCAACCUGAGCAUAUCCCUCAAUCAAACUACUCCACGAGACAACAUCUGGAGCCUCCAUAAAGUUAAAGAGCUCCCGAGCACUUCCAAGGGAGCCACAUUUUACAUACAUGUCCAUCAAUCCAUUCAUGACAAAAACAUCAAGUGCAAGCCCAGUUUUCAUUAUGUAGCAAUGAAGUUGAGUUCCCAUUUCUAAAGAAGCCAUUGCUGCGCAAGCCCCCAUUACAUCAUUGAAAGUAAUUUGAUCCGGCUUAGUUUGAGAAGCAAGCAUUAGGCUAAAUAAUCUGAAUAAUUCUCCAGCCUGGUGCUGCUGCAGAAAGCUGCAAGAAUUGAGUUCCAAGAAACUAAAUCUGCAUUUUUGCCCAACUCUUUAAAUACCAGUAAGGCAUUGCAGAGAACAGAGCACUUAGCAUACAUGGUCAGUAUAGCAUUACAGACAGGAACAUUCGAAUAAAACCCCUUCUUAAUAAUAUAGGAGUGAAUUUGCAUACCCUGAUAAAGUGUCAAAGGGCUGGUGCAAGCACAAAGUAGGGAACGAACAGUGAGCCCAUCAGGUAUCAACUCACGAUCCCCCAUUUCUGAAAAGAGUGACAUGGCUUCGUUGGCAUUGCUACAACUAGCAACCCCAGCAAUAAUUGUAUUCCAUGAUGCUAAAUUAGGGCUUUCCAUCUCAUUAAAUACAGUUCUUGCAAAAUCUAACAAACCACAUCGGGCAUAAAUGUCACAAAAGGAACAUCCGGCAAAAAUAUCUCUACCCAACCCGAAUUUUAUGCAUAUACCAUGUACCUGCCUCCCACAUUCAUGAUGUAGGAGAGUGCUACAAGCACUAAAAACACUGCCAAAUAUAAAUUCAUUUGGCUGGUAACCACCAUGAUGGAGCAUUUCAUUAAAAUGGCUCAAAGCUUCUAACUCACAACCAAGUUUGGAAAACCCAUCAAUCAUUGAACCCCAUGAAGUUAUAUCCUUUCUAGCGAUACUGGAAAACACAUUCCAUGCAUCCAAAAUUCGAUCAAACUUUGUGUACAUUGCGAUUAGAGCAUUCUGUGAAAUAAGAUGAGAACCAUGUUCUGAUUUUAUGACAUGGGCAUGAAGUUGUCUUCCUAAGCCAACACAGCAUAGACCUGAGCAAGCUCUUAUUAUGCUUCCAAAGGUAAACUGAUCCGGCAUAAGUCCUGACUGUAGCAUUUGUACGUACAGUUCAAUCGCAUCAUUUUCUUGGCCAUUCUGAGAGCAUCCAGCGAUCAUAGCAGUCCAAGAGACCACAUUCCUUUGCGGCAUUUCAUCAAAAACCAUUCUAGCAUCCUCCAAUGAACCACAUUUUCCGUACAUAUUAAGAAUAUGGUUAUGUAGAACAGCAUCUGGCUGACACUUGGACGAUAAAAUAUGAUCAUGGACUUUUCUUCCAAGUUGUAGAGAUCUCAGAGAAGAGCAUGCAGAGAUUAAAUCAGCAUAAGUGCUAGGUCUUAUCCUGAAGUUUGUAUUGUUUUGCAAGAAGUCAAAUGCUACAAGAGCUUCAUUGUACAGGUUUUGCUUGCAGAGAGAGCUAAUGUAAUCAUUGCUGAACUGUUCAGUCCUAAAGUAAGUUAGAGCAUUUGAUUGUACAAUAGGCUGACUGUGGUAGAAGGUGAACCGCAGUUGGGUUUUUAAGUUUCUAAUCAUGGUCACAGCAUUUCAGAAAGAAAAUAGUCUAGAACUAAAGGAUAAGAAAUGUUGAGAUUCUUUUUGUAUUUGGAUUUGGAUUUUAAAAGUAAUAGUAGAAAGCAACAAAUGUAAGUGGUAAAUUGCAUGAACUGAGAGGUAAAAUCUGACUCUUAUGUUACUCCAUGAACCUGAAUAAAUCAAAGUCCGAAAUAUCAUCGAAUCUUCUCAGAAAAGAAUCCACCACCUCCCCAGCUUGAUCCAACAACAUACACAGUUCAAAUGCAUCCCAAUACUCACAACACCACCUAGGCAAAUGACAAAUAAAAAAACACAUAAUCAACAUAUUGCACUGACAAGCACGGAUACAAACUCUCGUGCAAACUUUUUGUAAACAAACUGAUAUGUCAUCACAUUAUUGGUUGGAUGAUGUAAAUGGAGCGAACUUCCAAAUCGAAUCAAACUUAUGCUAAAUGAAUUUUUCAAGCAAUCAAAAUGGGCCCCUCACAAAAUUUUUUACAGGAAACAAAAAUGUGAAAGCUUGUAAGAGGCAAUUCUUCAAAAUGGUUAAAAAUUUAUAAUACAUUAGAACUACGGAUACAAAUGCUACGACUUUUUGCAAUGACAACGAAGUACCAAUGAAACACAAAGUGUUGCGAUAAAGCGUGAAAGCAACGAAACUAGAAAUGGAAUCAGAAGCAGAAAUGAACUGUAAAGCCAUCAUAGCAAAAGAUCGAAACUGCCGAUAAUUAAAAUUAAAUUACCUUAAGAUUGUGGAUUGUAGUGACUGUAUUCAAGCAUCCUCAUUCUUAAAUCUGAAUUUUAAAAAAAAAAUGGUUAAACAAAGUAGACUGAAAGGAAUGCGAGCAGGUCUUUGAGCAGCAAAAUGGCGCGCUUCAAGAGUUUAGCGGUGAUAGGGGUAAAAUUGGCAAUUCAAUUACCGAGGAAAUUAAGGCAUUAAGCAGACCAUGUUUUAAUUUUGAAUUUAGUUCAUUUUCUUACAAAUUUAAAGAGGUAAAGAUUGUUUAUUUCUUAUUUUAAUGUGAUAGUAUAGUUGAAUUUAAUCUGAGUACUAUCAAUAUAGUAUUUUUUAAAAUAAAUAUACAUAUGUUUUAAUAUUAUUUAUUUAUUGCAUGACUAACUUAAUAAUAUCUCUCAAACUAUAUUCCCAAUGAAUUUUAAUGUUACAUAAUUGGUAAUUAUUAAUUUUUAUAAAAUAAAAAUCUCAUCGUGUCUUUUAAUUUUUAUCAUAGUUAAAGAUGAAAGUAUGACAUGUUAUGAAAACUUCCGUAAUUUGAUAUUAAAACAACAAGAGAGGGUCUUCUCUAUGUAAAGUUUUAAAUGCAUCCAAUUUUGAGAUAAGUAGAAUGUUGUUGUUUGAUAUGUUGCGGUAAACAAUUGAUGGCGUGCAAUAGUGAUACAGGUGUGACAAAGUGUAAGCCACACUCUUCAAGAUGCUCACUCUGUUAGUCCAAUUCAGCUCAAGAGCUUCAUCCUCAUUGCGUAGAACACAGAACAAGCUUCAUCUUUCCAUGCACUCAUAAAUAAAAAACACGCAUUUCUUGAGCAAAUAAAAACCAUAGAGUUUCACAGCAUUCCGAUGUCGUACCGUGGAGAAUAAAUGAGCCUGGUUUUGGAAACUCUUUAGAAAAGCUGAAUCCUCUGUUUUAGAAUGGUAAAGCUACUUUAAAGCAACAACUUCUCCAUCUCGUAGCUUUGCCUUGUAAACACCGUCAUAACCUCUAUAGUUCCAAUGCAUUAUUUGAUAUGAAAAUCUUCUUUUGCAUUAAUCAAAUCUUCAUGCAAAAUUUUACCAUCAUAAUUCUACACUUAAAAUGCAUCUUCAUUCUUGGUAGCUCUUGACUUGAGUUUUAGACUUUCAUUCUUAUGUUUAAAAAGUAAAAUGAAUCCAAAUAUUAUGAAGGCGAGAACUAAAGCGAGAGGAAGAAAAAUUUUAUGAAUGAACCCUAUAAACCUAAUAUCACUGCUUCCAUACAUUGAACAUAGUUUUUAUUUGCCUAGUACCCGUCUAAGUUCUAUUGUAGCGUUAAUAAGAUCUACAAGAUUUCCUAAACCACUCCCAUAAAACACAAAUAUUUUUAAGCUGUAAAGUUGGGAAUUCUGCCACUAUGAUUUUUGAGUAAAAUGCGGGGGGUUCCAAAUGUUUGAACUAAACUUUGUGAAAGGUUUGUGCUGAUGAAUCAUAUAACAAAUUUCUUAUAUACACAAUUGAUGGCUAUACUAUCACAUUCUUUUCCGUCAAGAAAAAGCAAGAUUAGACACUUAACCAUUAGUGCUUAUAAGAGACAGAAGUUGUCUGAAAAAGCAGAUUCCCUUGUUGGAUAAUCUUUGAAAAACUUAUACAACGCUUGCAUGGGAAACUUUCUUUAUGUUCAAUGGAUUGAAUAAGAUUUUGAUGUUAUCUUAAAGUUCAAGAAAGGUGCGAGAGUUCUUUCACCACUUUCCCUCAAAUUAAUAAACAGCAUGAUUGUUAUUCCAUAUACGUGUACAACUGAUAUCAUAUCUUUAUUCUUUUUUUCUUUUUUUUUGUAAAUCAUCCGUGUCCCGCAACCACAUUGGGUCUCGACUAAUCCAGAUUCGGGGUGUAGUAAUAGUUAAAGCUCUUUACCCCUCCCAAAUGGUGUGUUUAGUGGGGAUCGAACUCGAGAGCUCUUCCCACAAACUCAGUCUACGCUGCCAACUGAGCCACAACAAUUUGGUGUUAUCAUAUCUUUAUUAAGCUUUAAACUAACCAUAUUUUCUUUUGAAUUUCAAUGUGAUUUUUUUAGGCAAAUAAUUUGAUUAUGCGAUAAGUUCGCCUAUGACUACACAUCUCACAUAAUCAAAGGGGAUUAAUGUUACUAUCCAAAAAUCAAUAUUAGGUCUAAGGAUCCAAUUCAGCCUAUCUGACUUAGGCAUGGGAUGUGUUACAUACUUCUCAGAAUUCACGUCAGGCACUACCUGAUGGAGACAUGCAAGGAACACAUGGUGUUUAGUCAGACUAUUUAGUAUAUUCUGCGGCAAUGGCUAUUCUUACAGUCUAAAUAUAGUAAAGUGGUGGCAAUAAAAUAUUACCAACCGAUUUUGAUAAAACAAAUUAUUUAUUAAAAUAAAUCAAUUUUAACAAAUAAACUAUUAUUUUAAAGCCCAUCAAUUUUGAUAAAACAAAAUAAAUUAUUUUUUAAAACCAACCAUAAUUGACAUUUUAGGCUUGGCUUGCCUAUAAAUAGGGGGGUUGAGAGCAUAGAGAGAUCAUGAAUUGAGAGAGUAUUUUGAAAAUUUUAAGUUCUCAAUUUAGUAAUUUCUAAUUUGUGAGAUAUGGUGUAUUGGAGUGUUGGGUUGUAAGAUUAAAUACUGCAAUACUUGUAACUUUACAUAACUAGUAAAAUAUUUUCUCUCAUCUUCUCCCAUAGAUGUGUGCUAAAAGCUAAACCAUAUAACUUUUCUGUGUCUCCUGUGUUAUAUUUAUUUCUCAAUUUCAUUUUAUUCAUCUAUUUACUUCACUCAUCAAUUCACUAAUAGUGAUAUUAGAAGCCAUCAAUCACAAUUACUCGAAUUAGAGAUACCAUUUACACAUACAAUACUAUUCACAUAUAUGAUACUAUUCAUAUGUAUGAUACUAUUCACAUACACGUUACUAUUCACAAUAGGAGUGAUUGAAGGCCAAAAUUGAGUAAUUGUAUGGUUUUGUACAUAUUUAGGAAAGUUUUGUUACUAAGACGAUGAGACUCCAAGGAGUUUGGGUUUUUAGUUGAACCAUUGUGACCUCCAAUCUAUCCUUGGAACUAUCUUGUUGUGCAAUUUUGCAUAUACUAGCAUUUCGACUAUUCAAGCCAAAGUCAAAGUUGCAACAAGCACUUAUUUGCGCCAUAUCAAUGCUUGAAUUCACUUUUGGACCUUACUCUUUGAAUCACACAAUAAAAUCAAGCGAAUUGCAGAUCAAUUAGUUUGAAUUUCUAUUCAAUCUCAAUUUUACUUCAAUCAAGAAAAAGUCUAUUCUUCUUACACGUGGCUUGGUGAAAUUUCUGCCUUAAACAUUUGAAUAGAAAUUCGGACUAAUUGGUUUGCAAUCUGCUUGAUUCUGUUUUAUGGUUUGAAAAGGAAGGUUUAAAAGAAUAUUCAGGCAUUGAUAUGGCCCAAAUAAGCUCUUGUUGAAACUUUGACUUCGGCUUGAAUAGUCGCAAGUGAUAGUAUGUAUGAAAUUACACAUUAAGAAAGUUUCGAGGAAAGACUAGAGAGACCACAAUAAUCUAACUUAAAACACAAACUCUUAUAGCCUUGGUAACAAAACUUUCCUAAAUUUGUACAAAACCAUACGGUUACUCCACUCUGGCCUUUAAUGAUUCUUGCUGAGAAUAGUACUAUAUACAUGAAUAGUAUCAUAUAUGUGAAUAAUACCGUAUGUGUCAACAACAUCGUUAGUUCGAAUUAUUGCAAUCAACGGCUUCUAAUACCACUGUUAGUGAAUUCAUGAGUGAAGUAGAUACACGGCUAAAAUGAAAUUGCAAAAUAAAUAUAACACAGGAGACAUAAAAAUUUACAUGGUUCAGCUUACUCACACACACACACACACAUGAACUUAAAGUUCUCAAAAUCCUCUCUCAAAUCAUGAUCUCUCCAUGCUCUCAACUCACCUAUUUAUAGGGCAAGCCAAGCCUAAAAAUGUCAAUUUUAGUUGGUUUUAAAAAAUAACUUGUUUUGUUUUUAUCAAAAUUGGUGGGCUUUAAAAUAAUAAUCUAUUUGUUAAAUUAAUUUAUUUUAAUAAAAUAAUUUGCUUUGUCAAAAUUAAUCGGUAAUAUUUUAUUGCCACCACUUUACUGUCUUUAGGUUGUAAGAAUAGACACAACCGCAGAAUGUCCUGAACAGCUAGUCUAACAAAAACCAUGUUCUCCUCGUACGUUUCUGUCAGUUAGUGCCCGGUGCGAACUCUGAGAAGCAUAUGAUACAUCUUAGGCCUGAGCUUGAUAGGCUGAAUUGGGUCAUUGGGCCUAAUAUUGAUUUUUAGAUAGUAACAACCUUUUACUGAAUAAGCUAUUAAAUACGUCCGAUAGGCGAUCGACAAUUUAUGAAUUAUAGAAACUGAUAUGUCAGCAAAUCAUUGCUUGGAUGAUGUACAUGGGCGCACUUCCAAAUCGAAUCAAACUUAUGCUAAAUGAGUUUUUCAAGCCAUCAAAAUGGGCCCCUUACAAAAAUUUUUACAGGAACAAAUUUUGAAAGCUUGUAAGAGGCAAUUCUUCAAACAAGAAGACUGCAUAAUGAUUUAAAAUUUAUAAUACAUUAGUACAAUGGAUACGAACUUUAAAUUUAUAAUUGAUAUGAUGUUUUGCAAUGACAACGAAGUACCAAUUAAACACAAACUUUUGCCAUAAAGCAUGAAAGCAAUGAAACUAGACAUGGAAUAAGGAAGCAGAACUGAACUGUAAAGCCAUCAUAGCGAAAAAUUGAAACUGCAGGCAAUUUAAUUAAAUUACCUUAAGAUUGUUGGAUUCCAGUAGACUGAAAGUAAUGCGCGCAGUUUUUUGAGCAACAAAAUGGCGCGCCUCAAGAGUUAAGCUGUAGUAAGGGUAAAAUUGGUAGUUCAAUUACAGAUACGACGUCGUGCUUUCGACAUUAAGCAGACCUAUGAUGUUUUAAUUUCGAAUUUAGUUCGUUUUCUUAAGUAUCUUACGUUUUAUCCCCUAGUUUAAACUUUAAAGAUUGUUUACUUUCUUUUUUAGUGAGGUUAUACAAACAAGCAUUGAAUGUAUAAUACUAUAAUGUGUAGUUGAAUUUAAUAUAACUAUUAUUUAUAUAGAAAAUUUUGAAAAUAAAUACAUAUAUGUCAUGAGUAGUGCUACACAUCCUAAAUUAUUUAUUUCAAAUAAUUAUUUCAAAUUAUGUGGUAUUUAUUAAUUGGUUAAUGAGGAUAAUACAAUUAAUUCACUUGAAUCUUGUAAAAAAUUACCAACCAAUCAAUCAAUGACACACCAUUUGGGAUGAAAUUUGGGAUUGAAUAUUUGUAAUGUCUAUCAUUAUUGAUAUGUCAUAAUAUUAUUUACUUAUUUUAUAACAUAUUGAAGAAUAUUCUUGAAAUUUUAUGUUAUACAAUUGAUAGUUACUAAAGUAGUUAUUAAAUUUCAUAAAAUUAAAAUCUCACUUUUUCCCAUACGAAAAAAAGGACAACUACACCUCAAGAUUUGCGGAAAUUGUCACAAAGAUCCUCAAGUUUUUAAUAAGGGACACCAAGAUGUCGUUUGAGCAUAAUACCUUUUGACUUUAUAAACUCUAAAUAAAUUGUCCUUAAAAUUUUAUAACAAAUAAAAAUUUGACAUUGCAAUAAAUGUAAUAAUAUAUCAAAUUUAAAAUAAUUUUAAUAUUUAAUUUUUUUAUAUUCUACAAUAUAUUAGAACUAUUUUAUUAUAUUAAAGUAAUUUUUAAUAAUAAAUAGAAACAUAAUAUUAAAAUAUAUUAACUAAUUUAAAUUAAAAUUAUUUUGAAUAUAAUGUAAAAAUAGUUUUAACUUUAGUAAUUGGUAGAUAUUUUGUUAAUUGUAAAAUAUAUUUAACCCAAAGAUUUAUUUAAAGUCUUUAUAAAAGAUAAAAAUAUAUUAUUAAAAUAAAUAUAAUAAUUUAAAAUUUUAAUAUUAUUUUAAAUGUUAAAAAUAGUUUAAUAUUAUUAGUAUACCAAAUAAAUUAUAUUAUUUAUAUUAAAUUUGUAUUAAUUAAAAAAAUUAAAGUUAAUUUUCUAAUUCUUAUAUUCAAAGGAUAUUAUAUAUGAUAAAAAGAAUAUUUUGGAGUCCCUUUUUAAAAACUUAUAUGUUAUUGUGACCAUUUCUUUAUCAUAGUUAAUUGUGGGCACAUGCAAUAACAUGGGAACUUUUCCUAAUUUCAUAUUAAAACGAGAAGUGAGGAUCUUUAUCCUCGUAAAAUUCUAGAUUGAAUACCUUAAAACACCUGUUACCAUAAGCAUGCAUUUAAUUUUGAUCAGGAUUAAUUCGCUCAUGAUUUAAUAUUGCAAUGAGUGAAAUUUUAAGCGAAAAUUGAUAAUUAAUAAGUUAUAAAAAAUUAGAUAUAGCUCAUAAAUUAUUACUAAAAGAGAGAGUUUUUUAUAUAAAUAUAUAUAUAUUAACUGGAAAAUUAAUUUGUGUGUAUAUGCAUUAGAUUCAUGGGUGGAAGGAGAAGUACAAUAAGAAAGAAAGAACGUUCAUCAUCGUCACGCUCAGAGGGCUUGAGAAGAAAAUGGGAGGAAAUGAAUCUUGAUAUUCUUGAGAGGUGUGCUGUGCCGCUCAUGGCAAUUAUUGCUGUUGGCUGUGACCACGGAUCAGAAUCAUGUGUUGGCAAUUCUUUGGACCUUUCAUGUUAGCUUUUGACGUGUAGUGAAUCUUUUAUGUUUAUUGGUUUUUCAUGCUUUGCUUAAUGAUUGUUGGUCAUGUUCUCCUAGUUGUCGAACUUGCUUUUUUUUUUUUUUAAUUUUUUAUUUUCUCACAAGUGUUUACAGAUAAUCCACAAGUUUAGUCCAAUAAUUGGUAAUAUCAGCCACUAUUGACCACGAGUAAUUAGAUUAACGAAUAAUUGAAUAUUAGGUUAUUAUUAUUUUACUA